rnacentral:rRNA from 1 species
GAUGAACGCUGGCGGCGUGCCUAAUACAUGCAAGUCGAGCGAACAGAUGAGGAGCUUGCUCCUCUGACGUUAGCGGCGGACGGGUGAGUAACACGUGGAUAACCUACUUAUAAGACUGGGAUAACUUCGGGAAACCGGAGCUAAUACCGGAUAAUAUAUUGAACCGCAUGGUUCAAUAGUGAAAGACGGUUUUGCUGUCACUUAUAGAUGGAUCCGCGCCGCAUUAGCUAGUUGGUAAGGUAACGGCUUACCAAGGCAACGAUGCGUAGCCGACCUGAGAGGGUGAUCGGCCACACUGGAACUGAGACACGGUCCAGACUCCUACGGGAGGCAGCAGUAGGGAAUCUUCCGCAAUGGGCGAAAGCCUGACGGAGCAACGCCGCGUGAGUGAUGAAGGUCUUCGGAUCGUAAAACUCUGUUAUUGGGGAAGAACAAAUGUGUAAGUAACUAUGCACGUCUUGACGGUACCUAAUCAGAAAGCCACGGCUAACUACGUG